UAUAUAUAUACACAUACAUAAACAUUAUUCUGAAGAAGAUACAAAGAAAUGGCUCAAAAAGAAAAAGUUUUCAUGACAGCCUUGAUUGUAUUUCUUGUACUCUCAUUAGGUAUGCAAAAGAUUGAGUGUAGAAGGGUAGUACAACUGAAAUGCAUUGGAAAAUGUCAAACAGGUUUUCAUGAUUGUAAUGUUGAAUGCAAACAUAAGGGCUACACAAGAGGGGAAUGCUCUCCACCUAAGUAUCUCGAUUGUUGUUGUAUACUAGAAGGCAAAGAGGUGGAAAAAGUAAUUUAAAAUAAGAGCUUUUCUUCAAGUUAAAAUAAAGUGUAUGUUUCAAAAAUAAUGAAGUUUCAUUACAAUAAAGUGAAAAUAUGAUAUAUUAAUUA